rnacentral:misc_RNA from 1 species
GAUGAAGAACGUAGCAAAAUGCGAUAAGUAAUGUGAAUUGCAGAAUUCAGUGAAUCAUCGAAUCUUUGAACGCACAUUGCGCCCGCCAGUAUUCUGGCGGGCAUGCCUGUUCGAGCAUCAUUUCAACCCUCAAGCCCUCGGGUUUGGUGUUGGGGAUCGGCGAGCCUUUCUGGCAAGCCGGCCCCGAAAUCUAGUGGCGGUCUCGCUGCAGCCUCCAUUGCGUAGUAGCAAAACCCUCGCAACUGGAACGCGGCGCGGCCAAGCCGUUAAACCCCCAACUUCUGAAUGUUGACCUCGGAUCAGGUAGGAAUACCCGCUGAACUUAAGCAUAUCAAUAAGCGGAGGA